rnacentral:lncRNA from 1 species
UUCUUCUUCCUUGUCUCUGCCAUUGCUAUACCCAUUUUCUUUUUCUUAUUUCUGUAGUCACUUUACCUCCUCUAUCACCAUUGAAUCUAAAUUCGACAUUAUUGAUUUAUUAUGAAGAAGAAAAAAAAAAGUGGUUGUUUCGAUGGAUAUCAGGGGAAGAAUUUGGGUGGGUUGGGUAACAAUGUAAUUAUUAAAGUUUUUUAAAAAAAAUUUGAAUCUAAAAAAUCUACCAUUGUUAAUUUAUGAUAAAGAAGAAGAAGAAGAAAAAAAGAAGUAAGAAGACGUCGAGGGCCUAAAAUCCAAUGGGUAGCAUGGGAAAGAUUUGGUGUGGGUGGGUGGACUGUUUGGGGUACAAAAUUUUAUUUUUUUUUAAAAUAUAUCUUAAAAUAAGUUUUGGGUCUAAUGACACAUGUCAUAAUUUAAUUCGUCAUUGUGCCAUGUCAUCGCAAGUGUAUCUCACACACUUAAUAUUUGGCUGAUUGUCAAAUAAAUGUCAAUUCGAAGUUGUAGAGGAGUUCAAUAGGUACCAGCCUUAAUUGAGGUGUCCAAAUGAAAUAUGCGGAUAACUUUAAGUGGUUGUAGAUGACUUAAGCAAAAAUAUUAAUUCGUAAACGUCUGAAAAAUAUAAAAAUCAAGAAAAAGACAUAAAAACACCUCAAAAAAUUCCUGAAUCGAACCAGUAACCUUAGAAUAUCGAUAUCAAUAAAAUAUCAAAAAUUCACCUUUUUUCAUGACUGCCCGAAAAAUAUCAAAAAAUUUAAUUCG